UAGUUUUUGAGUUAAAAUUCUUAGAUGUUUUUAUGGGACGAGAAGACCCUAUAGAGUUUGACAUUUAGUAUUUCUUUUAUUUUUGUGGUUUGUUUAUUUCUUUUGAGUUUAUUGGGUGUUUUGUUGGGGUGAUGGGAGGAAUAAAAUUUAACUCCUCUUUGAUUUUUUAUAUUUAUUUAUAUUUAUUUUGAUCCAUUUAUUUUGAUUAUAAGAUUAAAUUACCUUAGGGAUAACAGCGUUAUCUUCCUUGAGAGUUCUUAUUGGCAGGGAGGUUUGCGACCUCGAUGUUGGAUUAAGGUGAAUUUUCGGUGCAGGAGCUGAAAAUGAUUAGGUCUGUUCGACCUUUAAAAUCUUACAUGAUCUGAGUUCAGACCGGCGUGAGCCAGGUUGGUUUCUAUCUAUAAUAUAAUUUUAUACCUUAGUACGAGAGGACCGGGUAUUUGAAAUAAUUUUAUUUUAUUAUGAUUUUUAUUAAUUUGUU
rnacentral:rRNA from 1 species